UGCGAGCGUUAAUCGGAAUUACUGGGCGUAAAGCGCAUGCAGGCGGCCUGUUAAGUCAGAUGUGAAAGACCCGGGGCGUUAACCUCGGAAUUGCAUUUGUAAACUAGGCAGGCUAGAGUCUUGUAGAGGGGGGUAGGAAUUUCAGGUGUAGCGGUGAAAUGCGUAGAGAUCUGAAGGAAUACCAGUGGCGAAGGCGGCCCCCUGGACAAAGACUGACGCUCAGAUGCGAAAGCGUGGGGAGCAAACAGGAUUAGAUACCCUGGUAG
rnacentral:rRNA from 1 species